UAGGGAAUCUUCCACAAUGGGCGCAAGCCUGAUGGAGCAACACCGCGUGAGUGAAGAAGGGUUUCGGCUCGUAAAGCUCUGUUGUUAAAGAAGAACACGUAUGAGAUUAACUGUUCAUACGUUGACGGUAUUUAACCAGAAAGUCACGGCUAACUACGUGCCAGCAGCCGCGGUAAUACGUAGGUGGCAAGCGUUAUCCGGAUUUAUUGGGCGUAAAGAGAGUGCAGGCGGUUUUCUAAGUCUGAUGUGAAAGCCUUCGGCUUAACCGGAGAAGUGCAUCGGAAACUGGAUAACUUGAGUGCAGAAGAGGGUAGUGGAACUCCAUGUGUAGCGGUGGAAUGCGUAGAUAUAUGGAAGAACACCAGUGGCGAAAGCGGCUCUCUGGCUUGUAACUGACGCUGAGGCUCGAAAGCGUGGGGAGCGAACAGGAUUAGAUACCCUGGUAGUCCACGCCGUAAACGAUGAGUGCUAGGUGUUGGAUCCUUUCCGGGAUUCAGUGCCGCAGCUAACGCAUUAAGCACUCCGCCUGGGGAGUACGACCGCAAGGUU
rnacentral:rRNA from 1 species